AACUUGUGUUGUAGACACUUUCGCAAGAGGUCCUUGAAUCGCUCCCAAGUCUCAAACAAGGAUUCAAGCUCCGUUUGAACAAAUGAGGAUAUCUCAUUGCGAAGCU